UUCACGCCUUUCAUCGCCGCCGUGACACUUUGUGAGAAUUCUCCCUUUUUUUUCCUUUUAUCAUUUUCGUGUGUUUGUUGAUAGAGACUUUACUGAAAUGCGAUUAAGGGGUUUUGGGUGUGAGUGAAAGAGACGCGACUGUUGAGUCAUGAGAGACGCAGUGUUGAGAGAGACGGAAGCGGCUACGUUGAGAGGGAGAGAUUUCUCUGAGCUUGAGGGGGUUCAUGAGGUUGAGGACGAUGGCGAUGAAUCAUUUUCUUUUUUUCCUUUUUUUAAUUUUUCUUUUAUUAUUUAAUUUAAUUUGUUUUUAAUACAAAAACCAUAAAAAAUGUUUAUCUUGUUCUUAAAUCUUUUUAUUUUUUAGCCCGGUUCAUAUAUUUAACGUGGUAUCUCGGUAGCAGAUAAGGAUGAGUGGCCUGGUGGAGAAGGGUAGUGUUCAUAUUCUUGAGUGGGGUGGGUUCAAUACUCACGUGUGACACCUUUUGCUUUUGAUUUUAUUUUUCUUUUAGCAUUUUUUAUCCUUUUAGUAUUUUGUUAAUAUCUUUUUUUUUAUGUCUAUUAUAAUUUCAUUUGUUAGUAAAUGCAUAGUUCAAAA
rnacentral:lncRNA from 1 species